GAUGAACGCUGGCGGCGUGCCUAAUACAUGCAAGUCGAGCGAACAGACGAGGAGCUUGCUCCUCUGACGUUAGCGGCGGACGGGUGAGUAACACGUGGAUAACCUACCUAUAAGACUGGGAUAACUUCGGGAAACCGGAGCCAAUACCGGAUAAUAUAUUGAACCGCAUGGUUCAAUAGUGAAAGACGGUUUUGCUGUCACUUAUAGAUGGAUCCGCGCCGCAUUAGCUAGUUGGUAAGGUAACGGCUUACCAAGGCAACGAUGCGUAGCCGACCUGAGAGGGUGAUCGGCCACACUGGAACUGAGACACGGUCCAGACUCCUACGGGAGGCAGCAGUAGGGAAUCUUCCGCAAUGGGCGAAAGCCUGACGGAGCAACGCCGCGUGAGUGAUGAAGGUCUUCGGAUCGUAAAACUCUGUUAUUAGGGAAGAACAAAUGUGUAAGUAGCUAUGCACGUCUUGACGGUACCUAAUCAGAAAGCCACGGCUAACUACGUG
rnacentral:rRNA from 1 species